rnacentral:rRNA from 1 species
AUUGAACGCUGGCGGCAGGCCUAACACAUGCAAGUCGAGCGGAGCGGCGGACGGGUGAGUAAUGCCUAGGAAUCUGCCUGGUAGUGGGGGAUAACGUCCGGAAACGGGCGCUAAUACCGCAUACUAUCAGAUGAGCCUAGGUCGGAUUAGCUAGUUGGUGGGGUAACGACUCACCUAGGCGACGAUCCCUAGCUGGUCUGAGAGGAUGACCAGCCACACGGUGACGGGGACACGGUCCAAACGCCUACGGGAGGCAGCAGUGGGGAAUAUUGCACAAGGGGCGCAAGCCUGAUGCAGCCAUGCCGCGUGUGGGAAGAAGGCCUUCGGGUUGUAAAGCACUUUCAGCGGGGAGGCGUUACCCGCAGAAGAAGCACCGGCUAACUCCGUGCCAGCAGCCGCGGUAAUAC